rnacentral:rRNA from 1 species
UACGUAGGGGGCAAGCGUUGUCCGGAUUUAUUGGGCGUAAAGAGCGUGUAGGCGGCCAGACAGGUCCGUUGUGAAAACUCGAGGCUCAACCUCGAGAUGUCGAUGGAAACCGUCUGGCUAGAGUCCGGAAGAGGAGUGUGGAAUUCCUGGUGUAGCGGUGAAAUGCGCAGAUAUCUGGAGGAACACCGGUGGCGAAGGCGGCGUUCUGGACUGCAACUGACACUGAGGAACGAAAGCCAGGGAGCAAACGGG